AAAGACCUAAAUGCCUCCAAAUCAGUUGUACCUUCAUAAGCUCGAAUACGAGCUUAACCAAACAGACUUUCAUGUAAAACAAAAUUCUACUAGCAAGAACUAAAUCAAAUCUGAUGAUGAGCAGACAGUAGAAACUUAUUAUUGAUCAACAAUCAUCAUCUUGGGCUACAGGAGCUCACAUUUACACUUCACAUACAAUAGAUCCAAAGCAUACCUGGAUUACAAAAACAAAAGCAGAGGUGGAUAGUUUAGCAGCAGGAUUAGCCACAACAACAAAAUCAAACCAGAGAUAACCACAAACAACCAACUUUGAACCAAAUUCAGGCCAACAGAGGGAUCAAGGAUACCCAAUAAUCAAAAUGCAGCCAAA
rnacentral:lncRNA from 1 species